UGCAGUGGCCAUACCGGAGGGGAAACACCCGUUCCCAUCCCGAACACGGCAGUUAAGCCCUCCAGGGCCGAUGGUACCGGGGGGUGGACCCCUGGGAGAGCAGGUCGCCGCUGCAA
rnacentral:rRNA from 1 species